rnacentral:rRNA from 1 species
CAGUCGCCACGGUAAGGCAGAGGAUGCAAGCGUUAUCCGGAAUGAUUGGGCGUAAAGCGUCUGUAGGUGGCUUUUCAAGUCCGCCGUCAAAUCCCAGGGCUCAACCCUGGACAGGCGGUGGAAACUACCAAGCUGGAGUACGGUAGGGGCAGAGGGAAUUUCCGGUGGAGCGGUGAAAUGCGUAGAUAUUGGGAGGAAUACCGGUGGCGAAGGCGACUUUCUGGACUAAAACUGACGCUGAGGCACGAAAGUGUGGGUAGCAAACAGGAUUAGAUACCCGCGUAGUCCCUGUCUCUUAUAC